ACGCUCGACACCUACGGGAGGCAGCAGUGAGGGAUAUUGGUCAAUGGGGGGAACCCUGAACCAGCAACGCCGCGUGAGGGAUGACGGUCUUCGGAUUGUAAACCUCUGUCCUCUGUGAAGAUAAUGACGGUAGCAGAGGAGGAAGCUCCGGCUAACUACGUGCAAGCAGCCGCGGUAAUCUGAGCGGGCUGGCAAGGC
rnacentral:rRNA from 1 species